AUUGAACGCUGGCGGCAUGCCUUACACAUGCAAGUCGAACGGCAGCACGGGGCAACCUGGUGGCGAGUGGCGAACGGGUGAGUAAUGCAUCGGAACGUACCUUUCAGUGGGGGAUAACGUAGCGAAAGUUACGCUAAUACCGCAUAUUCUGUGAGCAGGAAAGCAGGGGAUCGCAAGACCUUGCGCUGAUUGAGCGGCCGAUGUCAGAUUAGCUAGUUGGUGAGGUAAAGGCACACCAAGGCGACGAUCUGUAGCGGGUCUGAGAGGAUGAUCCGCCACACUGGAACUGAGACACGGUCCAGACUCCUACGGGAGGCAGCAGUGGGGAAUUUUGGACAAUGGGGGCAACCCUGAUCCAGCCAUGCCGCGUGAGGGAAGAAGGCCUUCGGGUUGUAAAGCUCUUUCGGCCGGGAAGAAAUCGCACGGGCUAAUACCCUGUGUGGAUGACGGUACCGGAAGAAGAAGCACCGGCUAACUACGUGCCAGCCGCCGCCGUAAGAC
rnacentral:rRNA from 1 species